CCUUACUUCCUUCCCUUCCCUCGGCUUCCCGCUCUUGCCUCACUCUCAGCGGCUGCCUUCGCCCCUGUCUGCAGACAGCGCCGCUGGAUGCUCCCAGCUGGACUUCAACCCCACUCCUCUCAGUCCCUCUCCCCACUGCCUUCCAGACGCGCCUCUUCCCCGCCCCGCGCCCCUCUCUCCUCUCCCACCCCUGCCCCUCUCCGCGGCGCUCACCCUCCUCAGUCCCAGUUUCUGAAAGGACUCAGCUGAGAAAGGACAACUGGGUUCCGCUUUCCUUAACCCUACACCCUUUAGCUGGAUGCUGUCAGAGGCGAUGGAGAAACGCAAAGGCUACUAGACGCAACAAUAGAAUUACCAUAUUGUUUUUCCUGGUUUGAAAGGACCAGAUGGAAAGAAACUGGGCAAGCCAAUGAAAGUCUCUGGGGAUCAUGGGAAUUGAGUGUCUAUGAAAACCAUAUUCCAGACAAGAAUAUAGUCUAAGGGUCUUGCUUUGUCAUCCAGGCUGGAAUGCUGUGGCACAAACAUGACUCACUGCAGACUCAUCAACCUCCCCAGCUCAAGUGAUCCUCCCACCUCAGCCCCACAAGUAGCUGGGACUACAUGCACAUGCCAUCAUGCCCAUCUAGUCUUUGUAUUUUUUGUAGAGACAGGGUUUUGUCAUGUUGUCCAGGCUGAUCUUGAACUCCUGAGCUCAAGUGGUCCAUAUACCUUGGCUUCCCAAAGUGCUGGGAUUAUAGGCCAUUGCUCCCGGCCUCAUGAUAAAACUUUAAGUAAUUGCUUCUUAUGGAUGAGCAAAGAAAUUGGAAUCUUGAUGCAGAAUGUACUUCUGGUGAAGAUGCCAUGAAUGUUGUUGAAAUGACAACAGAAGGUCUAGAAUAGUCCAUAAACUUAGCUGAGAAAGCAGCAGCAGGAGUUGAGAGGAUUGACUUCAGUUUUGAAAGAAGUUUUACUGUGGAUAAAAUGCUAUCAAAUAACCUCACAUGCUUCAGAUAAAUCUUUUGUGAAAGAAAGAUUCAAUAGAUGCAUAAACUUCAUUUUUUUUAAUUUUAAGAAAUUGCUUUAGCCACCCCAACCUUCAGCAAUCACUACCCUGAUCAAUCAGCAGCCAUCAACAUCAAGGCUAAACCCUCCAUUGGCAAAAAGAUUAUGAUCGCUGAAGGCUCAGAUGAUUAUUAGAGUUUUUAAUUUAAUUUUUUAUUAGCAAUAAAAUAUUUUUAAAUUUAAGGAAUGUACAUUUUUUUAAAGACAUAGUGCUAUUUCAUACUUAGUACUCUACAGUAAUGUAAACACAACUUUUCAAUGUACUGGAAAACAAAACAAACAAAGUCUCAUUUUAUUGUGAUAUUUGCUUUAUUGUGGUGGUCUUGAAAAAAACCCAUAAUAUUUUUGCGAUAUUAUGCCUAUAUGAAUAGAAUUAAAAGCAAAAUAUAUAUACUUAAUGUAUUAUAAAA
rnacentral:lncRNA from 1 species